CUUAGUAUUAUAAAAGGACUGGCGAUAUGUGCAAGAAUUUCUGAGGUAAACAUUAUUUUUUAACCUGUUUUUGAUGAUUAAAGUUGGUCAUGCCGUGGCAACGUGAUGACUCAAGUCCAAGUCUGUUUACAAUUUUCAAACUAAAAAAUCUGGAAUUCCCAUGGUUCGAUUUUCGUAAUUUUUGUAAAAAAGUCAAGACAAAUGUCUAAACUAAAAAUCUGCUGGAGGGAUCCCCCGGCAGUUUUCGAGAUAUUUGGCAUUGAAGUGACCAUACUCAAUUCAACCUUUGCCAAAAUGGCGUCUAAUAUCUGGGGAAGAUAUUGCGCCACCAAAGCUUGGUUUUCACAAUGAAUUUUGAAAGUCCCCCAAUAUUAGGAUAAUUUUUCUCUACAGUAAGUGUUAAAUUACUUUUGAAAGACUAUUUAGAAGACUUAGGAGUUAUUUGCCUGUUUUUUACAGAUUUUAUAUCUGGGCUGGUAUUACUAGCCUGCAUGCCCAUCUCCUUGACAUGCAUGCCUAUCUCCUUGGCAAGUGAAAUUGUCUGGUGGUAGAGACGAUUUUAAAAGAACAGCACAUUAUAAAGUGAUCAGAUUUUCUCUCAGUGAAAAAUUUUAUGUUCCCUUUUAAUUACAGCAGUUCAGAUGUCGAUAUAGAAUUGAAAAAGGGCUUCUUCCUGAACAUCCAAGGGCAGGGCCAACUGACGAUGUUGAAGAAUGAAGACAUUUUAGCAUGGAUUACUAGUAUAGAUUAUAGUAUCUCUUGUCCUUUACGAUGUCUUUCUGAAAGUUAUUGGUGAAUACAAAUUGAGCUGUGAUCCCUCAACGUGGCCAACAACAUGCUCCACCAAAUACCUGAGCACAAUAUAGAAAGUGCACAUACAUGCA